GGGUUGUGAGGUUAAGCGACUAAGCGUACACGGUGGAUGCCCUGGCAGUCAGAGGCGAUGAAGGGCGUGCUAAUCUGCGAUAAGCGCCGGUAAGGUGAUAUGAACCGUUAUAACCGGCGAUACCCGAAUGGGGAAACCCAGUGUGACUCGUCACACUAUCAUUAACUGAAUCCAUAGGUUAAUGAGGCGAACCGGGGGAACUGAAACAUCUAAGUACCC
rnacentral:rRNA from 2 species